UGCCAGCAGCCGCGGUAAGACGGAGGGUGCUAGCGUUGUUCGGAAUCACUGGGCGUAAAGGGCGCGUAGGCGGCCAUGUAAGUCGGGCGUGAAAGCCCGGGGCUCAACCCCGGAAUUGCGUUCGAAACUGCACGGCUUGAGGACGGAAGAGGAGAGUGGAAUACCCAGUGUAGAGGUGAAAUUCGUAGAUAUUGGGUGGAACACCAGUGGCGAAGGCGGCUCUCUGGUCCGGACCUGACGCUGAGGCGCGAAAGCGUGGGGAGCAAACAGGAUUAGAUA
rnacentral:rRNA from 1 species